GGUUAAGCGACUAAGCGUACACGGUGGAUGCCCUGGCAGUCAGAGGCGAUGAAGGACGUGCUAAUCUGCGAUAAGCGCCGGUAAGGUGAUAUGAACCGUUAUAACCGGCGAUUUCCGAAUGGGGAAACCCAGUGUGACUCGUCACACUAUCAUUAACUGAAUCCAUAGGUUAAUGAGGCGAACCGGGGGAACUGAAACAUCUAAGUACCCCGAGGAAAAGAAAUCAACCGAGAUUCCCCCAGUAGCGGCGAGCGAACGGGGAGGAGCCCAGAGCCUGAAUCAGCAUGUGUGUUAGUGGAAGCGUCUGGAAAGGCGCGCGAUACAGGGUGACAGCCCCGUACACAAAAGCGCAUGUGCUGUGAGCUCGAUGAGUAGGGCGGGACACGUGGUAUCCUGUCUGAAUAUGGGGGGACCAUCCUCCAAGGCUAAAUACUCCUGACUGACCGAUAGUGAACCAGUACCGUGAGGGAAAGGCGAAAAGAACCCCGGCGAGGGGAGUGAAAAAGAACCUGAAACCGUGUACGUACAAGCAGUGGGAGCACCCUUUGGGGUGUGACUGCGUACCUUUUGUAUAAUGGGUCAGCGACUUAUAUUCUGUAGCAAGGUUAACCGAAUAGGGGAGCCGGAGGGAAACCGAGUCUUAACCGGGCGUUAAGUUGCAGGGUAUAGACCCGAAACCCGGUGAUCUAGCCAUGGGCAGGUUGAAGGUUGGGUAACACUAACUGGAGGACCGAACCGACUAAUGUUGAAAAAUUAGCGGAUGACCUGUGGCUGGGGGUGAAAGGCCAAUCAAACCGGGAGAUAGCUGGUUCUCCCCGAAAGCUAUUUAGGUAGCGCCUCGUGAAUUCAUCUCCGGGGGUAGAGCACUGUUUCGGCUAGGGGGCCAUCCCGGCUUACCAACCCGAUGCAAACUGCGAAUACCGGAGAAUGUUAUCACGGGAGACACACGGCGGGUGCUAACGUCCGUCGUGAAGAGGGAAACAACCCAGACCGCCAGCUAAGGUCCCAAAGUCAUGGUUAAGUGGGAAACGAUGUGGGAAGGCCCAGACAGCCAGGAUGUUGGCUUAGAAGCAGCCAUCAUUUAAAGAAAGCGUAAUAGCUCACUGGUCGAGUCGGCCUGCGCGGAAGAUGUAACGGGGCUAAACCAUGCACCGAAGCUGCGGCAGCGAACGUAUCACUUAAAGCGAUUCAGCGGGUUACGAUUGACGGAGCGAAGCGACGUCAAAGCGUAUACAAAGUCGAGUCGGUUUAAGGAUACGUUCGUUGGGUAGGGGAGCGUUCUGUAAGCCUGCGAAGGUGGCCUGUGAGGGUUGCUGGAGGUAUCAGAAGUGCGAAUGCUGACAUAAGUAACGAUAAAGCGGGUGAAAAGCCCGCUCGCCGGAAGACCAAGGGUUCCUGUCCAACGUUAAUCGGGGCAGGGUGAGUCGACCCCUAAGGCGAGGCCGAAAGGCGUAGUCGAUGGGAAACGGGUUAAUAUUCCCGUACUUGGUGUUACUGCGAAGGGGGGACGGAGAAGGCUAUGUUGGCCGGGCGACGGUUGUCCCGGUUUAAGCGUGUAGGUGUGUGUUCCAGGUAAAUCCGGUUCACUUUAACACUGAGGCGUGACGACGAGGCACUACGGUGCUGAAGCAACAAAUGCCCUGCUUCCAGGAAAAGCCUCUAAGCAUCAGGUAACAUCAAAUCGUACCCCAAACCGACACAGGUGGUCAGGUAGAGAAUACCAAGGCGCUUGAGAGAACUCGGGUGAAGGAACUAGGCAAAAUGGUGCCGUAACUUCGGGAGAAGGCACGCUGACACGUAGGUGAAGUGAUUUACUCACGGAGCUGAAGUCAGUCGAAGAUACCAGCUGGCUGCAACUGUUUAUUAAAAACACAGCACUGUGCAAACACGAAAGUGGACGUAUACGGUGUGACGCCUGCCCGGUGCCGGAAGGUUAAUUGAUGGGGUCAGCGCAAGCGAAGCUCCUGAUCGAAGCCCCGGUAAACGGCGGCCGUAACUAUAACGGUCCUAAGGUAGCGAAAUUCCUUGUCGGGUAAGUUCCGACCUGCACGAAUGGCGUAAUGAUGGCCAGGCUGUCUCCACCCGAGACUCAGUGAAAUUGAACUCGCUGUGAAGAUGCAGUGUACCCGCGGCAAGACGGAAAGACCCCGUGAACCUUUACUAUAGCUUGACACUGAACAUUGAGCCUUGAUGUGUAGGAUAGGUGGGAGGCUUUGAAGUGUGGACGCCAGUCUGCAUGGAGCCGACCUUGAAAUACCACCCUUUAAUGUUUGAUGUUCUAACGUGGACCCGUGAUCCGGGUUGCGGACAGUGUCUGGUGGGUAGUUUGACUGGGGCGGUCUCCUCCUAAAGAGUAACGGAGGAGCACGAAGGUUGGCUAAUCCUGGUCGGACAUCAGGAGGUUAGUGCAAUGGCAUAAGCCAGCUUGACUGCGAGCGUGACGGCGCGAGCAGGUGCGAAAGCAGGUCAUAGUGAUCCGGUGGUUCUGAAUGGAAGGGCCAUCGCUCAACGGAUAAAAGGUACUCCGGGGAUAACAGGCUGAUACCGCCCAAGAGUUCAUAUCGACGGCGGUGUUUGGCACCUCGAUGUCGGCUCAUCACAUCCUGGGGCUGAAGUAGGUCCCAAGGGUAUGGCUGUUCGCCAUUUAAAGUGGUACGCGAGCUGGGUUUAGAACGUCGUGAGACAGUUCGGUCCCUAUCUGCCGUGGGCGCUGGAGAACUGAGGGGGGCUGCUCCUAGUACGAGAGGACCGGAGUGGACGCAUCACUGGUGUUCGGGUUGUCAUGCCAAUGGCACUGCCCGGUAGCUAAAUGCGGAAGAGAUAAGUGCUGAAAGCAUCUAAGCACGAAACUUGCCCCGAGAUGAGUUCUCCCUGAGACUUAGAGUCUCCUGAAGGAACGUUGAAGACGACGACGUUGAUAGGCCGGGUGUGUAAGCGCAGCGAUGCGUUGAGCUAACCGGUACUAAUGAACCGUGAGGCUUAACCUU
rnacentral:rRNA from 1 species